UGUUGCUCAAUGGUAGAGCACUUGCCUAGCAUGCAUGAGAAUCUGGGUUCUAUCCCCAGCA
rnacentral:tRNA from 1 species